UACAGAGGUCUCAAGCGUUGUUCGGAUUCAUUGGGCGUAAAGGGUGCGUAGGCGGCGCGGUAAGUCGGGUGUGAAAUCUCGGGGCUUAACUCCGAAACUGCAUUCGAUACUGCCGUGCUUGAGGACUGGAGAGGAGACUGGAAUUUACGGUGUAGCGGUGAAAUGCGUAGAUAUCGGGAGGAACACCAAUUGCGAAGGCAGCUCGCUGGGACGUUACUGACGCUGAGACGCGAAAGCGUGGGGAGCAAACAGG
rnacentral:rRNA from 1 species